AUGUACAUUCCUACAACAUAACAUUAAUGCAUCGGAUCCCAUUAGAACUCUGAAGUUAAUCGUGCUCGGACUUGAGUAGUACUGGGAUGGGUGACCACUUGGGAAGUCUUAGCAUUUUACAUG
rnacentral:rRNA from 1 species